rnacentral:rRNA from 1 species
AUACGGAGGAUCCGAGCGUUAUCCGGAUUUAUUGGGUUUAAAGGGUGCGCAGGCGGCCAUUUAAGUCAGCGGUUAAAUCGUGGGGCUCAACCCCAUUCUGCCGUUGAUACUGGGUGGCUUGAUUGCGGUCGAGGUUGGCGGAAUUCGUUGUGUAGCGGUGAAAUGCAUAGAUAUGGCGAAGAACACCGAUUGCGUAGGCAGCUGACCAGACCGCAAAUGACGCUCAUGCACGAAAGUGCGGGGAUCGAACAGGAUUAGAUACCCUGGUAGUCCGCACAGUAAACGAUGAAUACUUGUUUUCGGCGAUAUAAUGUCGGAGGCAAAGCGAAAGCGAUAAGUAUUCCACCUGGGGAGUACGCCGGCAACGGUGAAACUCAAAGGAAUUGACGGGG